AGCAGCCGCGGUAAUUCCAGCUCCAAUAGCGUAUAUUAAAGUUGUUGCAGUUAAAAAGCUCGUAGUUGAAUUUCGGGGUUAGUAGGUUGGUCAUGCCUCUGGUAUGUACUGGUCUCACUGAUUCCUCCUUCCUGAUGAGCCGUAAUGCCAUUAAUUUGGUGUUGCGGGGAAUUUGGACUGUUACUUUGAAAAAAUUAGAGUGUUUAAAGCAAGCUAACGCUUGAAUACAUUAGCAUGGAAUAAUGAAAUAGGACGUUCGAUCCUAUUUUGUUGGUUUCUAGGAUUGACGUAAUGAUUAAUAGGGAUAGUUGGGGGCAUUAGUAUUCAAUUGUCAGAGGUGAAAUUCUUGGAUUUAUUGAAGACUAACUACUGCGAAAGCAUUUGCCAAGGAUGUUUUCAUUAAUCAAGAACGAAAGUUAGGGGAUCGAAGACGAUCAGAUACCGUCGCUAGUCUUAACCAUAAACUAUGCCGACUAGGGAUCGGAUGAUGUUAAUUUUUUAAUGACUCA
rnacentral:rRNA from 1 species